CUAAAAGAAAAAAACAACAAACAAAACAAAGCAGUUGGUUCACGAUUGGCUCAUCAAUAAUUUGUGACAUUAUAACCAAUCAAAAACAUUAAUCGGACUACUGGAUCAUACGAUCACGAGCAUUGACCCUGGGUACUACAGAUUCUGAAAUAAAGACCCACUUUACAGGUAUCUGUACAACAAGUAUAGUUCACGUUGUGUGUGAUAAUGUCAGGUGUACGCUCUAUUUCAAAGCGGGACUUUGUUCCAUGAUAAGAAGUGGGUGCCGACCCGCGCGUGUUGGACAGAGGCGCGUCAGAACGGACACCAGAUAGCGCCGCGACACCUCACACCUACUGACAGACAGCAUGACGAAAGCUACAGCCGUCCUCCUCUUUACGUCGGUCCUGUGUUUACUGGCGGCGUGGAUUCAUGGGUGUGCAAACGUACCGUGCGCAGACACAGAUGACGACUUCCGGUGUUUCAAUCGCACGGAGUGUUCCGGGUGUACUUUCGGCGCACACUGUAUUCACCUAGGGGGAGGUCACCACCGCUGUGACUGCAUCAACCCCUCCAACUCCAGAAACCUGCCUGCGGUAGACCUUGUUUAAUACACAACCAGUGUAAUAGAUUACUAUGGAUUGAAGGAAACGUCUAGUUAUAUAGUUCUGAGAAAAAUAAAUGUCAUCGGUGUCA